GACGAACGCUGGCGGCGUGCUUAACACAUGCAAGUCGAACGGUGAAGCGCCUUCCUUUUUGGUGGGUGUGGAUGAGUGGCGAACGGGUGAGUAACACGUUAGUAACCUGCCCCCUUCUUCUGGAUAACCGCAUGAAAGUGUGGCUAAUACGGGAUAUUCUGGGUCUGUCGCAUGAUGGGUCUGGGAAAGAUAUUGUUUCGGUGGGGGAUGGGCUCGCGGCCUAUCAGCUUGUUGGUGGGGUGAUGGCCUACCAAGGCGGUGACGGGUAGCCGGCCUGAGAGGGUGAACGGUCACACUGGGAAUGAGACACGGACCAGACUCCUAGGGGAGGCAGCAGUGGGGAAUAUUGCACAAUGGGCGCAAGCCUGAUGCAGCGACGCCGCGUGAGGGAUGGAGGCCUUCGGGUUGUGAACCUCUUUCGCCAGUGAAGCAGGCCUGCCUCGUUUGUGGGUGGGUUGACGGUAGCUGGAUAAGAAGCGCCGGCUAACUACGUG
rnacentral:rRNA from 1 species